AUGGAUCUCCAAUAUCUACAGUUGAAUGGUAACAAUUUCUCCUGUCCCUUGCCACCUGACUUGUGUGCUGGAGGCAAGCUCGAGAGAUUGACUGCAUUUGAUAAUAACCUGAAUGGACCUUUGCCGUCAAGUCUGGUACAUUGCUUAAGCCUCAUUAGAGUUCGUCUUGAAAGGAAUCAAAUAGAAGGAGAUAUCUCUGAGUUGGGAAUUCAUCCCAAUAUGGUGUAUAUGAAUAUGAGCUCGAAUAAACUAUAUGGGCAGUUAUCUAACCAUUGGAGGGAGUGGCGUAAUCUUACCAAGCUAAACAUCUCAAACAACAACAUCAUGGGUAAUAUACCCACAAGUAUGGGACAGCUGUCUCGGUUAAAGGUGCUCGAUCUUUCAUCAAACAAACUUGAAGGGUCGCUGAUAAUUUGCUCUAUGGUAGCAUUCCACAAGAAAUUGGAGCAUUGUACAAUCUAG
rnacentral:rRNA from 1 species